CCUACGGGAGGCAGCAGUGAGGAAUAUUGGUCAAUGGACGAGAGUCUGAACCAGCCAAGUAGCGUGAAGGAUGACUGCCCUACGGGUUGUAAACUUCUUUUAUCAGGGAGUAAAACGAGGCACGUGUGCCUUUUUGCAUGUACUCUAUGAAUAAGGAUCGGCUAACUCCGUGCCAGCAGCCGCGGUAAUACGGAGGGAGCGAGCGUUAAUCGGAAUUACUGGGCGUAAAGCGCUCGUAGGCGGUAGGUCAAGUCAAGGGUGAAAUCCCCGCGCGCAACGUGGGAACUGCCUUUGAAACUGGCAAACUUGAGUGUGUGAGAGGUUCGUGGAAUUCCAGGUGUAGGAGUGAAAUGCGUAGAUAUCAGGAGGAACAUCAGUGGCGAAGGC
rnacentral:rRNA from 1 species